GGGCCAAUGAUGUGUUCUUCACGGGGAGGCGCAAUGCCUCCAUGUCCGGAUUUCAGACCUAUAUAAAAGGACAUGGAGCUGGAGGGGAAAGUAGAGGCCCUCUGGGCAAAAAAAAAGUGGGAGAAUUUAAAACAAAAAUACAAGGAAUUGAAAGCCCCAAGGACAGGCGUAAGCACAGAGGGAGGAGAGGCCACUGCAGCAAACUUGAAGUGGUUUGUACUCAUGGAUGAGGUGAUGGGGCACCGCCCAGCGAUCACUCUACCAAACCCCAUCUCCUCAGCCAUGGUAACAAACUCUGCUGCAGUGGCUUCUCCUCAGGAGAAAGAGGGGGAGUCCACUCCGUGCUCCAAACCAAAGAGGGAGCCGGAGUGGCUCUCCUAUGUUAGGAAAAUGGAAGAGAAGGAAGAGGAAAAGGAAAGGAGAGCGGACGAGAGAGAGGAGCAGAAAGAGAGAGAGGAACUACAAAGAGAAGAGAGGAAGGAGAGAGAAAAGAGAGGAAGACAGAAGGAGAGAGAGAGAGUGGCGAGAAUGGAUGGAUGCGAGGCAAAGAGAGGAAAGAAGAGAGAGAGCGGAGAGGGACAGGGACAAUAUGGCCAGGGAGGAAAGGCUGCUUGCCCUCUUAGAGGCCAUAACAAAAAAUAUUAAAUAAAGUCUAUUUGAACCGUUUCCUCUUUUGUUGCAGAUAAUUCUGAAGGAUUAUAAAGAGUAAAGGGAGGCAGUAAUAACAUGAUAUUGAAAUAUAAUAUAAUUAAAUGAUUUAAUUUAUGAUUUAGUUAUCAUGUUAGAUCUAAUUAAAACUGAUCAGAAAAAUCAAAGGUGAAUUAAAAACAUGCCAAAUAUGUACAAUAACAAGCAUUGAUUUGGCUAGAAUAAAGAGAUAUCAAUAUAACUAUGUACAUUAAUUGGUUAUCAUGUUAGAUCUAAUUAAAACUGAUCAGAAAAAUCUAACUGAAGUAAAAAAAAAUAUAUAUAUAACUAUGUACAUUUAUUUGUUAUCAUUUAUAUCUAUUUACAUUUGUGUGCUAUAACUAUCAACAUAUUUUUUUUAUGUUUUUUAUUUUUUUAUAUUUACAAGAUAAUCAACAAAAUCAACAAUAAUCAUGUAGAAUCAGAACAGGAAUCCUGAGCUCAGGAGCAUGAGCAGCAGACACUGCAGCUGCGAGUCUGUCCCGAAGAGUGUCCCCCGACUGCUGCUGGCACUCUUGGGCAACCUCAUCCCCAUCUCCGUUGUCGUCCUCCUCCUCAGGCUCCAGGAUGUCCCCAGUGCCGAUGCACAGGUUGUGUAGGAAGAGGCAGUCGAUGAUCACCUCUGACACAAACUCCACCUUCACCUCAAGGGCCUUUAAAAAGAUGGAGUGCCACCUGGUCUUCAGCACCCCAAAGGCCCUCUCCACCACACACCUUGCCCUCGCAUUAUAGCGGCCCUGGACAGCGUUGCGGACAGGUAGGGGGUCAGCAGACGGAUCGGCUGAGCCAGGCAAGGAUACCCUCCGUCGCCAAGGAGGCACCAACCUGGAGGGGGGUAAAGCUGGUGCACGUAGGAAGGGCUGCUCUUCAGGACCCUGGCGUCGUGCACCGAGCCAGGGAAGCCCACGUGCACGUCCAAAAAGCGACCUUCAUGGUCGCAGAUGGCCUGAAACUAUGGAGUGGAACAGCUUUCGGUUGAAGUAAUCUGCAGCAAAGGCUCCUGGGGGCACAAUGCGAACGUGGCAUCCAUCAAUGGCCCCUGCCACAUUGCCAAAAGCCGGGGAUCCUGCCAGCUGCUGGAACCCAGCCCCAAUUUCUGGCAGCUCAUCCCUGCUCGGAAAGUGGAUCUGCUGCCUGAAAAUUUACUGGAUGCCUUUGCUCACCCUGUGGACCAAAUCGUGGCAUGUCAUGCGGGGAAUGUCGAAGGCCUCCGACACCACUCGAUAGGACGUUCCACACGCCAGCCAGAACAGGAACACCAGCACCUCAAAGGCCUUCCCCCACCCGUGGUCGACCGGCCCCUGGAGACGGUGGACCAGGCUAUCCUGCGUAGGCCUGGAAAGGCGGAAGUCCUUCCUUAGGUCACCGUCUUCAAAGUAGAGGCGCACCAGGGGAACAUGAAUGUUCAGCCUGGAAUAUGGCCCUUUGCACCAACCUGUAAAUUAUAAUUAUACAUUCAAUAUCAUUAUUUAUUCCAAUCAUGUAUUUAUUUA
ensembl:lncRNA